CUGGUUUUUACUGGACUUGUAUCUAAGUUUAUUCGGGGACGCAAACUGCUUCCGGUACACAGUGUGGCCUAGGCAGGUGCUGGACUCCCCGGCUCUAUGGCAUUUCCCGCCUCAUCCCGUGAGUGUGCCAUUUCUUCACUUUCCAGAGGCUGCCCUUCCUUAGCUGAAGUUUCCGAGAAACGCAGCAAGCUUUCCGCUCUUGGGUUCCAUAUGCCCAGAAGUGUUGGUCUCUGGCUCAAUGGGCUGCUGCUUCCACCACCGUACAGAACCCGGAAGAUUGCUGCGCACAGACAGGAGAGGGAAAAUGAACUUCCCACUCUUCGUAUGACAUUCCAGAUCACAUACUGAAGCCAUGAAACUAAUGGACAGAAAGAGGAACCAGCCAAGCUGGCCUUCCAACUGGAGACAUUCCCAUUAAAGUGCCAGAAAUGUGAAGAAAAACAUUUUGGAUUCUCCAGACCAGACCAGCAGCAACUGAAUACCACUGAACAGUCCCAGAAAAGGAAGUAAGAAACAAGGAAGGAGAUGGCCUUAAAGGGAAGAGUGGCAAGAACAGAAUAAAAAGGUAAAUCAAAAAAGAAGAUUGGUUAGGCUGCUAACAGGAAUCAUCCUGAUUUGCUUUCUCUCAUCUACCACAUCCAAAUCAUAAGCCAGUAUUAUCCAUUUUACAUCCAAAACACACCUUCAGUAUCUCACUGUCACUCUCUUGCUCUCUCACUUGCUCCUCACAUUUUUUUUAAACCAGGAAAACCUUAUCUCUACCCUGGACUACUGCUUAGACCCCCCUAACUGAUGUCUCUUUUUGCACAGAGAUUAUUCUCCUAAUUCAUUCUCUAUAAGGCAACCACAGUAACCUUAAAUCAUUAAGGCCGGGGAUUUAGCUCAGUGGUUCCGCCACCUGCCUCAAAAGCCCAAGGACCCGAGUUUGAUCCCUG
rnacentral:lncRNA from 1 species